CCUACGGGAGGCAGCAGUGGGGAAUAUUGGGCAAUGGGCGCAAGCCUGACCCAGCAACGCCGCGUGAAGGAAGAAGGCUUUCGGGUUGUAAACUUCUUUUAUCAGGGACGAAGCAAGUGACGGUACCGGAUGAAUAAGCCACGGCUAACUACGUGCCAGCAGCCGCGGUAAUACGUAGGGGGGAAGCGUUAUCCGGAUUUACUGGGUGUAAAGGGCGUGUAGGCGGGAGUGCAAGUCAGAGGUGAAAACUAGGGGCUCAACCCAUAGCCUGCAUUUGAAACGGUACUUCUUGAGUGCUGGAGAGGCCAUCGGAAUUCCGUGUGUAGCGGUGACAUGCGUAGAUCUACGGAGGAACACCAGUGGCGCAGGCGGAUUGCUGGACCGUACCUGACGCUGAGGCGCGACCGCGUGGGGAGCAAACCGGAUUAGCUACCCGGGUAGUC
rnacentral:rRNA from 1 species